UACAGAGGUGCCAAGCGUUGUUCGGAUUUAUUGGGCGUAAAGGGUGCGUAGGUGGUGAUACAAGUCGGAUGUGAAAUCCCGGAGCCUAACUCCGGAACUGCAUUCGAAACUGUAUCGCUCGAGGUCUGGAGAGGUGACUGGAAUUCUCGGUGUAGCAGUGAAAUGCGUAGAUAUCGAGAGGAACACCAGAGGCGAAGGCGAGUCACUGGACAGAUUCUGACACUGAGGCACGAAAGCCAGGGGAGCAAACGGG
rnacentral:rRNA from 1 species